UGAGCUUGAUCGGAACCAUAGAACCAAUGUUUUGGAUCGUAAUUGAUGCUGAAUUCGAAGAAUUAGGGUUUGAAGAUGGAGGUUGCCAUGACCAGAAGAACAGAGAGAAGAAGAGUGCAGUAGCGAUCAAGAUCGAUGACUAGCAAGAUCGAAGAAGGAGAUAAUCAAUUGGGAGAAAAAUCACAGAGAAUAGCGCACAAAAGGAAGCAGGAAUUUGGGGAUCGAAGAGAAAAG
rnacentral:lncRNA from 1 species